rnacentral:lncRNA from 1 species
AUCAAAUCUGGCUGAAAGUGUCCAGAAGGACAGAGAAAGGGCGGAAAAUCAAAGACCUCACCUUGCCUACAUCUACACAGCCAAGACUGCCACAAAACAAGAGACAGAGUCUGCAUUAAAGCAGACACAAGAUAUAGACAUAAGUUGCCUGUUCUGCACCCAUGGAACUUCCUGGACGUCCAUUCGCUUUCUGACCUUUCCUGCCCAUGCUUCAGACGGAGCAACCCAUUCUUCAUGGCCUUCCAGGGUUUGUGAUUUAUAUAAUGGCUUAUCUUCUUGCUUGACCAUUAAUGUCAGGGCACAACAAUCACACAUGCAAUUGAUGAAUAAAUGUGUGAGACAAAUGAUCUAUUGUUAUCCUCCAUGACGUUUUCAUCUAGCCACGGGGAGGCGGGGGAACAAAUGACAAGACUGUAAACGAUGGACUCCUCUUAGAGUUCCCAAGAAGAAAUGAGCAGUAAGUGACAAAGCGUAAAUGCCCUAUUUGUCACCACACCUUGGAGCAUUUAAUAUAAG